UGUGACAUGUCAUUGGAACACACACCAGAGA
rnacentral:piRNA from 1 species